AGGCUACUAGCUCAAUCGGCAGAGCAGGGAGUUCAGGGGAGUAUCCCCGUAGCCCGUGUCCAGGUUCGAAUCCUGGGUAGCCUAC
rnacentral:tRNA from 1 species